AGUGGGAACACACGGCCGCAAAUCCGACGCGCCGCUCGCUUGAGCAGCUUGGGAUUGCGGUGGUGU
rnacentral:ncRNA from 1 species